GGGUCGGUAGCUCAAUGGGAGAGCAGCCCGCUCAUAACGGGUUGGUCCUAGGUUCGAUUCCUAGCCGACCCA
rnacentral:tRNA from 1 species